GACGAACGCUGGCGGCGUGCCUAAUACAUGCAAGUAGAACGCAGUUGCGAACGUGUGAGUAACGCGUAGGUAACUGCCUCAUAGCGGGGGAGAAAUAUUGGUAACGAUAGCUAAUACCGCAUACUGUGAGAUGGACCUGAGUCGUAUUAGCUAGUCGGUGAGGUAAAGGCUCACCAAGGCGACGAUACAGAGCCGACCUGAGAGGCUCAGCCGCCGCACUGGGACUGCGGCACGGCCCAGACUCCUGCCGGAGGCAGCGGUAGGGAAUCUUCCGCAGUGGUCGGAAGUCUGACCUAGCAACGCCGCGUGAGUGAAGAAGGUUUUCGGUGCGUAAUGCUCUGUUGUUAGAGAAGCGGUAACUUCCCCGAGCUGGACGGCUGACUACGUGCCAGCAGCCGCGGUAAUAC
rnacentral:rRNA from 1 species